rnacentral:rRNA from 1 species
GAUGAACGCUAGCUACAGGCUUAACACAUGCAAGUCGAGGGACCGGCGCACGGGUGAUUAACACGUAUCCAACCUGCCUUUUACUCGGGGAUAGCCUUUCGAAAGACUGAUUAAUACCCGAUAUAAAGGAUGGGGAUGCGUUCCAUUAGGUUGUUGGUGAGGUAAAGGCCCACCAAGCCUUCGCUGGAUAGGGGUUCUGAGAGGAAGGUCCCCCACAUUGGAACUGAGGCACAGUCCAAACUCCGAGGGGAGGCAGCAGUGAGGAAUAUUGGUCAAUGGGCGUUAGCCUGACCCAGCCAAGUAGAGUGAAGGAGGAAUGCUUAUGAGUCGUAAACUACUUGUAUAGAAGAAUAUGUAUUAUAUGAAUAAGGAUCGGCUAACUCCGUGCCAGCAGCCGCGGUAAUUC